CGGGGUGCACCAGGCGCGAAAACUUUACAAUGCUGGCAACAGCGAUAAGGGGACCUCGAGUGCCAGGAUACAAUCUUGGCUGUCGUGAUGCCUAAAAAGCAUUACAUAGCAAGGGCCGGGCAAGACCGGUGCCAGCCGCCGCGGUAACACCGGCGGCUCGAGUGGUAACCGCUAUUAUUGGGUCUAAAGGGUCUGUAGCCGGCCGGAUAAGUCUCUUGGGAAAUCCAGCAGCUCAACUGUUGGGCUUCCAGGGGAUACUGCUCGGCUCGAGGCCGGGAGAGGUGAGAGGUACUUCAGGGGUAGGGGUGAAAUCUUGUAAUCCUUGAAGGACCACCAGUGGCGAAGGCGUCUCACCAGAACGGUCCUGACGGCAAGGGACGAAAGCUAGGGGCACGAACCGGAUUAGAUACCCGGGUAGUCCUAGCCGUAAACGAUACUCGCUAGGUGUCAGCCACGGUGCGACCGUGGUUGGUGCCGUAGGGAAGCCGUGAAGCGAGCCACCUGGGAAGUACGGCCGCAAGGCUGAAACUUAAAGGA
rnacentral:rRNA from 1 species